rnacentral:rRNA from 1 species
AGUGAACGCUGGCGGUAGGCCUAACACAUGCAAGUCGAACGGCAGCACAGUAAGAGCUUGCUCUUACGGGUGGCGAGUGGCGGACGGGUGAGGAAUACAUCGGAAUCUACUUUUUCGGGGGGGAUAACGUAGGGAAACUUACGCUAAUACCGCAUACGACCUACGGGGGAAAGCAGGGGAUCUUCGGACCUUGCGCGAUUGAAUGAGCCGAUGUCGGAUUAGCUAGUUGGCGGGGUAAAGGCCCACCAAGGCGACGAUCCGUAGCUGGUCUGAGAGGAUGAUCAGCCACACUGGAACUGAGACACGGUCCAGACUCCUACGGGAGGCAGCAGUGGGGAAUAUUGGACAAUGGGCGCAAGCCUGAUCCAGCCAUACCGCGUGGGUGAAGAAGGCCUUCGGGUUGUAAAGCCCUUUUGUUGGGAAAGAAAAGCAGCAGGUUAAUACCCCGCUGUUCUGACGGUACCCAAAGAAUAAGCACCGGCUAACUUCGUG